rnacentral:lncRNA from 1 species
CAGAAUGGUGGAUACAAUGGUGAAAAAAUAGCACGAAACAAGAAUUGGGAAGGGCCUCAUCGGAGGUGAUUUUUGGUUUUUCCCGCGGUGCACUAGGCUUUACCUGCGAUUUUUAGCUCAUCUGCCAAUUCUUUUACUCCGAUUUGGUCAUGUGGGUGCUCAAAAUCAAAUUUCAGGCGAAUGAAAUUUUUUUUACUUUUUUAGCGGUCGAAGGUGGCUUCGAUGCGGCGGCAAGCGGCAAUUGGCUCCCUUUUCCGGCGACUGGUUCUUCUUCUCCAAUGGGGGGCUGGCGGCUAGGGCUAGGGUUUGAUAUGAAGUGAUAUAUUUAUAUCCAUCUCCUUUUAAUCUUAGUCAUUC